rnacentral:lncRNA from 1 species
CUUUGAUUUCUUUGAUGUGCGAUCUUUUGAUUUCCUUAACUUAAUUAUCGCUUUAAACCAAAAACCAGAACCCAUUCUUGAUGUGAAGCAACUUCUUUCAGAUUAAUUAUCCCCUAGGAAUAUAUUUAAUAAUAUAAAAAUAAAAAUAAUUAGCAUAGCGGAUCACCUCAUCAAUACAGCUAUAGUAAGUACUGUAAUUCAUCUUAAUCCUUAAUCAUUCAUAAGCUAUAUAGUCGGUAUUGUUAUUGUAAUAUCACUAAUAUGCAACCUAUGAAAUGUUUAGUUACAAACAUAUUAAAGCUGAAUCACAUUAAGAUCACAAAAACAUAAAGCUAUUGGAGUAGAUCAAAGUUUGUAACACUAAAAACAACAAACAAUAAAUUGCACAUAUUAAAACUAAUCAUAGCUAUUAAUAUAGAGUACUUAACAAUCACACGACACUAUCUCUUCCACCAAAAACUCAUACCAUGAUUUACACAAACAGAACACUAAAAACAUGGAUCAAGAACAAACAAUACAACUGCAGAAUAAACAAAAAAAAAUGUUGAAUUAGCAAGUACUAGCAAAUAAACCAAGAUACUAAAAAACUAUAUCAAUGAAGUUCUGACACCAACCCAAAAUCAAGAAGCAAAUGGGGUUACUCAGAAUCACACAAAAAGAAAGAAAAAUGCAAUCUUGGGGUUUGAUAACUACAUACCAGAGAAGGUCCAAAGGAGGGUCUUUUUUCCUUGAAAAAUGAGAAGAAGCAAAAGGGAUGGUGAGAAAAUGAUAUGAAUGAAGAAGUAAAGAAGAAGAAAAGAAGAAGAGAGGGUGAAAUAGUCAGCAAAAGAAUAAAAGGUGGGUAGGGAAUGUGGAUUGCCAUGGCCCAGUACCAGCUUUAUUUCUUUC